rnacentral:tRNA from 1 species
GUCCUAGUGCUGGAGGGGUUAAAAUGGCCCUCCUAAGGGGAAGGUUGGUGGUUCGAACCCACUCUGGGACGCCA